UACGUAGGGUGCGAGCGUUGUCCGGAAUUAUUGGGCGUAAAGAGCUCGUAGGCGGUCUGUCGCGUCUGCUGUGAAAACCCGAGGCUCAACCUCGGGCCUGCAGUGGGUACGGGCAGACUAGAGUGCGGUAGGGGAGAAUGGAAUUCCUGGUGUAGCGGUGAAAUGCGCAGAUAUCAGGAGGAACACCGGUGGCGAAGGCGGGUCUCUGGGCCGAUACUGACGCUGAGGAGCGAAAGCGUGGGGAGCGAACAGG
rnacentral:rRNA from 1 species